AGUGAACGCUGGCGGUAGGCCUAACACAUGCAAGUCGAACGGCAGCACAGUAAGAGCUUGCUCUUACGGGUGGCGAGUGGCGGACGGGUGAGGAAUACAUCGGAAUCUACUUUUUCGUGGGGGACAACGUAGGGAAACUUACGCUAAUACCGCAUACGACCUACGGGUGAAAGCAGGGGAUCUUCGGACCUUGCGCGAUUGAAUGAGCCGAUGUCGGAUUAGCUAGUUGGCGGGGUAAAGGCCCACCAAGGCGACGAUCCGUAGCUGGUCUGAGAGGAUGAUCAGCCACACUGGAACUGAGACACGGUCCAGACUCCUACGGGAGGCAGCAGUGGGGAAUAUUGCACAAUGGGCGCAAGCCUGAUCCAGCCAUACCGCGUGAGUGAAGAAGGCCUUCGGGUUGUAAAGCCCUUUUAUUAGGAAAGAAAAGCAGCAUGUUAAUACCCCGCUGUUCUGACGGUACCCAAAGAAUAAGCACCGGCUAACUUCGUG
rnacentral:rRNA from 1 species